UACGUAGGUCCCGAGCGUUAUCCGGAUUUAUUGGGCGUAAAGCGAGCGCAGGCGGUUAGAUAAGUCUGAAGUUAAAGGCUGUGGCUUAACCAUAGUACGCUUUGGAAACUGUUUAACUUGAGUGCAGAAGGGGAGAGUGGAAUUCCAUGUGUAGCGGUGAAAUGCGUAGAUAUAUGGAGGAACACCGGUGGCGAAAGCGGCUCUCUGGUCUGUAACUGACGCUGAGGUACGAAAGCAUGGGGAGCAAACA
rnacentral:rRNA from 1 species